UAGCAUAAUCAUUUGUUUUUUAAUUGAAAACUAGUAUGAAUGGUUAAACAAUGAAAAUUUUCUUUAUUUUUAAAUAAGUAAUUUGUAUUUUAAGUAAAAAUACUUAAAUAUGUAUGAGGGACGAUAAGACCCUAAAAGCUUCAUUUUUAUUUUAUUUAUAUAAAAUUUAUGUGAUAUAAAAAUAUCUAUAAAUAUAAAAAUUAGCUGGGGUAGUUAUUUUAAUAUAAUUAAAAUUUAUUAAUACAUUUAAUAUUAAUGGUGAAAGAUCCUUUAUAUAAGGAAAAUUAGUCAUAGUUACUUUAGGGAUAACAGCGUUAUAUUUUUGGAGAGAUCUUAUCUAUAAAAAUGAUUGCGACCUCGAUGUUGAAUUAAAAUUACUAUAUGAAGCAGAAAAUAUAAAAAGUGGGUUUGUUCAACCUUUAAAUUUUUACAUGAUUU
rnacentral:rRNA from 1 species